UCAGAUCUAUUUACUCUCAGAUUUGAAAAUAUUAAUUAGCAUCUAAGUAGGUAUCAUGCAAAACUACAAAUCCCAGCAAGCUCCUGCACAUCCUGCACAUCUUCACACCAUUGCUAACAGGAUGCGUGAGAACAUGUCCACCAUGGUGUGUUUGAAGGAGGAGGAAGACCCUGGGGAGAAGCUGUCACAGGAUGAGAUCAUCUCCAGGACCAAGCAGGUGAUCCAGGGCCUGGAGGCUCUGAAGCAGGAGCACAACUCUAUCUUGGAGGGCUUGCUGGGCACGCUGCGCUGCCUGAAGCAGGAAAACCAGGGUGUCCUGGUGGAGGAGAAGUCCCUCAUGAUCCGCAAGUCCCUGGAGAUGCUGGAGCUGGGCCUGAGCGAGGCACAGGUGAUGAUGGCGCUGUCGGGCCACCUGAGCUCUGUGGAGUCGGAGAAGCAGAAGCUGCGGGCACAGGUUCGUCGGCUGUGCCAGGAGAACCAGUGGUUGAGGGACGAAUUGGCGGGCACCCAGCAGAAGCUGCAGAAGAGUGAGCAGAGCGUGGCUCAGCUGGAGGAGGAGAAGAAACACCUGGAGUUCAUGAACCAGCUCAAGAAGUACGACGAGGAUCUGUCGCCAUCGGAGGAGAAGGACUCUGACUCCAGUAAAGAGAAUCUGGAUGAUCUGUUCCCAGACGACCAGGAUGACCAACCUCCUGGCAUCCAGCAGCCCCACGGUAGUGCAGCAGCAGCAGCAGCCCAGCAGGGAGGCUAUGAGAUCCCGGCCCGCCUCAGGACCCUUCACAACCUGGUGAUCCAGUACGCCUCCCAGGGCCGCUACGAGGUGGCCGUGCCCCUCUGCAAACAGGCCCUGGAGGACCUGGAGAAGACCUCCGGACACAACCACCCAGACGUGGCCACCAUGCUCAACAUCCUGGCCCUGGUCUACAGGGACCAGAAUAAAUACAAAGAGGCAGCCAACCUGCUGAACGACGCCCUGGCCAUCAGGGAGAAGACUCUGGGCAGGGACCAUCCAGCGGUGGCUGCUACACUCAACAACCUGGCUGUGCUCUAUGGGAAACGGGGGAAGUACAAGGAAGCGGAGCCCCUUUGCAAGCGGGCUCUGGAGAUCCGGGAGAAGGUUCUGGGUAAGGACCACCCAGACGUUGCUAAGCAGCUGAACAACCUUGCCCUGCUUUGUCAGAACCAGGGCAAGUAUGAGGAGGUGGAGUACUACUACCAGCGGGCCCUGGAGAUCUACCAGACCAAACUGGGCCCUGACGACCCCAAUGUGGCCAAGACCAAAAACAAUCUGGCAUCCUGUUACCUGAAGCAGGGGAAGUUCAAGCAGGCUGAAACUCUGUACAAAGAGAUCCUUACCCGCGCACAUGAGAGGGAGUUUGGCUCUGUAGACGAUGAGAACAAACCCAUUUGGAUGCAUGCUGAGGAGAGAGAGGAACAGAACAAGGGAAAGCAGCAGGACGGCUCCCUGUUCGGAGAGUAUGGAGGCUGGUACAAGGCCUGUAAAGUAGACAGCCCCACAGUAACCACCACCCUGAAGAAUCUGGGCGCCCUCUACAGGCGGCAGGGUAAAUUUGAGGCGGCAGAGACACUGGAGGAGGCAGCCAAGCGCUCCAGAAAACAGGGUCUGGACACAGUGCACAAGCAGCGUGUGGCGGAUGUUCUGAGCGAGCCGGAGGAGCAGGAGAAGCAGCGGAGCCGUGAGAGUCUGACCUCUGACACCACGGUCAAGUACGAGAGCGGCCCGGACGGGGGCGAGGAAGUGAGUAUGAGCGUGGAGUGGAACGGGGACGGUUCUGGUUCUCUGAAGCGGAGCGGCUCCUUCAGUAAACUCCGUGCCUCUAUUCGCCGCAGCAGCGAGAAACUGGUCCGCAAGCUGAAGGGCGGUGGCUCACGGGAGAACGAGCCCAAAAACCCUGGUUAUUAACCCACAUACCAUCUCCAUUGGCCACAUGUCCUUCUCCUCACCCCUGACCAUCGACCCCCUCACGGACAUCUCCUUGCAUGUCACUGUUCUGGAUGCAGCAUGAAGCGAGCCAGUUCACUAGGUGUUCUAAACGUGGUGGACAAUGCUGCCGGAGACCUCUACCAAGAGCAAAAUAAUCAUCUGACAAACAGUCGUGACCUGAGUGCCAGCCACAAUGACCUGGCACAUUGAAGGUUAGAACUGAGUGGAGAGGUGAAAGGUCGUGGGAUCAGUCUCCUGACCCCCCCUCCCACCCCCAAUCUUCAGAUCCUGCCUCCGCCUAUGAGCUGUCCCCCUCCAAUAUAAUCCUGUACAUAGCUGACUAACUGCUACACCCCCCCCCCCCAGGUUAAAACAAACAAACCCUUCCUAAACUACACACAACCGUCCAUCUGCUCACUACAGCUAGCUACAGCACGUAGGUUUAACAAUCUCAUUGCACUUUGAUCUAGUCGCUGGUUUUCAUAGAGGGUGUUUUUAUUGAAAUGUUUUCUCUUAAUAUCUAAAUAUAUUUUUGCAACAUGAGAUUAGUUAUAAUGAAGGACAAGUGUAUAAUGCUAAGUCAAGUGUGAGUGGAUGUAAGUGUGCACCUAUAUUUUUGUGAUUGAAUGCUCAUGAGAGAGAACAUUCAUUUUUAUUUUCUGUGUGGUUGCUUUUUUCUACCUUUCCUCCACAGAUCUAAAGAAUAACUUAGAUAAUUUGGUUAUCACUUUAAUGGAAUAGGUUAGCAGUUCAGGAGGUCGCAAUAGAGUAUCUCAUUCCCCCUUUACGUCCAAAUUGAUGUCCUGUGUGUUUUUAUUGAAGUGAUAGCUGUGCUUAUAUGAAGUUUAAUGUUUACAUUUGGGUUGUGUAAAUUGUUUUAUUGUAUUUCCUACGCUGCUCUGGGGGAAUCUUUUGUUUCUUGGCAUCAGAGUUCUAGAAACUGAUAGUUCUGCCUCUUUUUAUAGUGAUAUUACCUACUGCAAUUGAAGAAACUGCUCCAUGUAUAUGAAGUUAUGAGGCAGGAGCGUUGUGUUGGCACAUGAAGUAUAUCUUGUCGAUUUCUCAGGAUUGUCACAGAACAGAAGAUCACUAGCCAGGCUAGUUUUGAUAUUAUACACUGACUGCACAAGAUAUUUAACACCAACCUGUCACAGUCAAAUGCAAUUUCCAGUAAUAGGUGAAUAACAUUGUUACAAUCUAGAGAAGAAACAUUGUUUAACAAUUUGUACCAGUCUGUUUCUGGAUGUUGAAUGAUGAAUUAAGAGUAAGACUGUGUAUAAAGAGUGAAAUUCAUCUUAAAGGAUUUGUACUUUAUGAAUAUCCAACCAAAAAGUGAACAUUUUUAAUAGAUCUAUUGCAGGUCUGUCACCACCACAUUUGCAUCGUUUUACUUUGUUCUCAAAACUUUAAAAUGAGUGGUUUUUCAUUUCUGGAGCAUGCUUUAUUUUGGUUCACAGACAUCACCCUACUGACCCUUGACAUGGGUGUGGACUGCUUGUUUGGUGGACUGUGUUAAUGUGGGCUGUUGAUGGGGAUGUGUGAUAUCGUUCUCUUAUGUAAGGAAGGUGACUAACAUUUGACUUUAGAAAGCAUAGGACCAGGGUCGCCCCCAGUCCCUCACCAGGAACAGCACUAGUUAGGGAUAAAGGGAAAACACCAGUUAGACUGUCCAAGGAACAGGACUUAUUUUAAUGAUGAACAAGCUAACUGUCAUGAGCAGAGUGUACCACAGUAUAGUGAGUAGUUUGCUUAGUAAAUACCAGAAAUUGUUUGAGCAUUUCAAGCAGAGGUCUGUGGUAUAGUUAACUUUAUACUGCAGUUUGUAAAAAAUAUAUAUAUUUAUUUAGUGGCUCAGUAACGGGCAUAGGCUUUUCUAUGCAGAAUGCAGUUGGUAAUUUGAAAAACUUUUACAUGUGUAACACACAACGAAGCAUGUGAUUAAAACUUGUGCAAACUUUUAGCCUUACCUUGUUAUGUGUAUAUAUAACAUCAUACUCUUAAAACAUUGUGGUAACAUUGUGCUUGUCAGGAUAGAAUAUACAAAUGCAAGGAACGUUGAUUUAAGCACAAACCUGUAAGCUAAAUAUGUGUUGGAUGCUCCCAUAUGACUGUUGAUCAGUUUGUCUGUCAAUCAUCAACCUGCUUUAUUUGUGUUUUCUCCAUUAUGUGUUCGCUCAGAGUUACUGGUAAGGUACUACAGUGUCCAAUUGAUUAGAAAGGCACAUCAAUUCAUAGGGCUAGACAUUGAAUUAUUGAAGACAAAAUGUAUGCUUUUAUUUCAGAAGCAUUAAUUCAAGUAUACUGUGUUGAGAGAAAAUAGGACCCUAUUUCUGAAAUGUAAUCACCCCCUGCCCCUGUGUUUAUGACCAUAUUUUUACAAACUUAAAUGAUCAUGAAAUCCCUCAAAUGCCUGGGCAGAUAUUAUUUGUUCUUCAAAGCAUUGAUCCUGACGUAUUUUGCUUUACUGGCAAAACAGUAACGAUAAUGAAUCCUACUCUUAAACUCAAAGACCGUUGUGGUUAAUUAUUUGAAAUUAGUAAUCCUAUGAGCAGUGGUACUCUUGAGUCACUGUUGAGGUGAUGCACAUAUUCCUAUGGAGAAGGGCAACAAGCCCUGAACUAAUGGUCAAAUUCGUUUUGCAUGGCCAGGUGCCCCCGGUUGAUCCUUUUAGACCAUUCCAUUGGUUCUUAAGGGAAAUCUCAACCCACCUGGUGCAACAGGCCAUGCAAAAUGAACUCCACCAGUGAAACACUGUUGGGAAAUCUUCAUGAUGACAUUACCAUAUUGUUAGUGGGUCUUAACAGUCAAUGCACCAGCCUCUCUACUGUCCAUCUGUUCCUUUGUUUUUGAAAGUGCAAUUUUUGUUUGUUUGGGGUUGGCCUGGAGUGUGUAUGUGUGGGGAUGUCCUGAGCUGCACUGACGAUAGGAUCAAACUCCCAGCCUCUCUCCUUUAGGGCUGCCUGCUGUGCUGGCUGGAUCAGCCCAUAAACAGUGGUGAAGUGUUUGCCCUUCAAAAAUAUAUUGUAUGGUAUGAAUAAAAUAAUACAAAUGUU